UUCUUGCAGGCUUGUGUUGCAGCUGCUGGUUGGGGUGGUAUUCCAGCUUGAGCAUUUCUGUUUACAAUCUACACAAUGAACAGAUGUGGUGCAAUUAUGAUGCUAGUAGAGAUGGAAUAUAGCAGCAAAAAAGCUAUUCAAUUCUAACAUUUUUACAUCAUCAACAUCUUUGGUUGAAUGACUUGAGAAAUUUUUAUUGUUUCAUGAUAUGCGUACUUGAGCAUACAUUAUUUGAUUUUAUAUUUAUUGAUUUGUUAGAGACAUGUGAAGCAAAAACAUUAUAUGCUUUUGUGAGUGGAGGUGAGCUGAGAGGUUUAAGAUCUUUGGCCAAAGAGUUAAGAUCUUUGUCGGCAAAAGAUGAGAAAUUCACCGAGUACCAAAAGGUUUUAAUGGAAGAAAACAUGAAAAGUAAGUAAUUGGACAGUUCUCCAUGGCAGUUCCCUCUACUAUACCAAGGAGGGCAGAAUGUUCUAUUUAGCUGGCGUAGAAUAAUCGGUUAGAUAGAACAUGGUGGAAGAGCUGCUGAUUAUCU